rnacentral:lncRNA from 1 species
UAGAAAAAUCUUUACCAAGAGCUUUGAGUCCAUUGAUGACAUCCGUGAAAUGGGUGUACAUGUCUCCGAUGGACUCACUUGGUUUCAUUCGGAAAAGUUCAUAAGAGUGCACAAGGAUGUUGAUUUUGGACUCUUUCACUCGGUUAGUGCCUUCAUGAGUGACCUCAAGAGUUCUCCAAAUAUCAAAAGCCGAAUCACAAAUUGAAA